GUGGAAUAAGUGAAUUAGUAAAAAGAAAAAUGGACAGAUUUGUUGUACGAAAAGACGUCCCGACAGGUGCAAAUACAGAGACGGACAGUGGCAGUGAGAGCAGCUCGAGCGACGAGCGGAAGCCUGAGACCAGGAGAAAGUUUCGGACGGAGUGGCUGGCCCCAUUUUCUUGGCUUAGGAACAUAAAUGGC